UACGGAGGGUGCGAGCGUUGUCCGGAAUCACUGGGCGUAAAGGGCGCGUAGGUGGCCUGUGGAAGUCUGCGGUGAAAGCCCGGCGCUCAACGCCGGGUCGGCCGUGGAUACUCUCGGGCUUGAGCUUACUAGAGGCAGAUGGAAUUCCGGGUGUAGCGGUGGAAUGCGUAGAGAUCCGGAAGAACACCGGUGGCGAAGGCGGUCUGCUGGGGUAAUGCUGACACUGAGGCGCGACAGCGUGGGGAGCAAACAGG
rnacentral:rRNA from 1 species